rnacentral:rRNA from 1 species
AUUGAACGCUGGCGGCAUGCUUUACACAUGCAAGUCGAACGGCAGCGCGGGCUUCGGCCUGGCGGCGAGUGGCGAACGGGUGAGUAAUAUAUCGGAACGUACCCAGAAGUGGGGGAUAACGUAGCGAAAGUUACGCUAAUACCGCAUACGAUCUAAGGAUGAAAGUGGGGGACCUUCGGGCCUCAUGCUUUUGGAGCGGCCGAUAUCUGAUUAGCUAGUUGGUGAGGUAAAGGCUCACCAAGGCGACGAUCAGUAGCUGGUCUGAGAGGACGACCAGCCACACUGGGACUGAGACACGGCCCAGACUCCUACGGGAGGCAGCAGUGGGGAAUUUUGGACAAUGGGGGCAACCCUGAUCCAGCAAUGCCGCGUGAGUGAAGAAGGCCUUCGGGUUGUAAAGCUCCUUUGUCAGGGAAGAAACGGUUCCAGCUAAUAUCUGGAGCUAAUGACGGUACCUGAAGAAUAAGCACCGGCUAACUACGUGCCAGCAGCCGCCGUAAAAC